rnacentral:lncRNA from 1 species
UCUUUGUUUGCAGUCCCUGUUUAUAUUCUAUUUUUCCAUGUCCUGCCCAGGUUAGUAUUGACCAGAGUAGAAACUUCCCAGUUUGGACAAUAAGUUGUAUGACCACACCACCUGCCCCAGGAACUUGGGGUGGAGACCAGAACUGUGAUUACAAGAGGAGAAGACUGCAUUGUGGUCAUCAUUUGUGGACCUGAAGCAUGUUGCCUGGUACCCAACAGCAUAUAAAAAUGUUUCUUGAAUCAAAGCACAAAGAGAGCCCUGUCUGCUGAAAACAGAUAAGAAAAACGCACAUUCUCCUCUAUCCAACUUCAACUUCGCUCCAUUCGUACCUUGUGCAGUUACUGCUGGGUCUGAGGAAGGUGAAUGGAGAAACAUCAAGAUCUGACUCUAGAGUUGCCAAGUUACCCCUCCCCUGCUGAUUUGGAAGCCCUUUAACCAUU